AUACGGAGGGGACAAGCGUUAAUCGGAAUUACUGGGCGUAAAGCGUACGUAGGCGGUUCGUUAAGUUAGAUGUGAAAGCCCCGGGCUUAACCUGGGAACUGCAUUUAAAACUGGCGAACUAGAGUUGAGUAGAGGGGAGUGGAAUUUCAGGUGUAGCGGUGAAAUGCGUAGAGAUCUGAAGGAACACCAGUGGCGAAGGCGACUCCCUGGACUCAAACUGACGCUGAGGUACGAAAGCGUGGGUAGCAAACGGGAUUAGAAACCCUAGUAGUCC
rnacentral:rRNA from 1 species